UAACCAAGGCUCAGAGAACUGAAGUGACUUGUCCAAGAACACACAGCAGAUGAGAGCUGGAGCCAGGAAUAGAACAAAGGGACCUGUCUUGGCCUGCCAGUGGUUGCUGCUGGGAAUCUAGGGUUCAGAAUCAGCCAGGAAGACUAUUGCUUCAGGGUCCUUGAUUCUCCUGGAGACAUUAAUAUCUGGUGACUGAGAUGUGGUGCUCAGGUGCUGACAGAGGGUCAGGGUGAAAAACUCAAACCUUCCCGAUCACCAAUCCAGAUGUCCCUGCCAAGGUUUCCGAUGUGCGUCGGACAGGACCGACAGAGGAGCUCCGAUUACACCCCACCGAUGCUCUGGGGUCCUUUACCGUGGCGCCAGAGGAGGCCUCAGUAGCCAGGUUUUUCAACUCUAGAAGGGUUUCAGGCAGGACCGGCGGAGAAGCUCCGAUGACACCUUACUUCCAUCAGACCCAGGAUCUACUGCCUCCUACCCAGAGGAGGGCUCUGCAAUGGAGAAGCAGCAUGGUAUAGUGGAGAAGGCACGGGCCUG